rnacentral:rRNA from 1 species
UACAGAGGGUGCAAGCGUUGUUCGGAAUUAUUGGGCGUAAAGGGCGCGUAGGCGGUGCCACAAGUCACCUGUGAAAUCUCCGGGCUCAACUCGGAGUCUGCAUCAGAAACUGCCGUGCUCGAGUGUGGGAGAGGUGAGUGGAAUUCCCGGUGUAGCGGUGAAAUGCGUAGAUAUCGGGAGGAAGACCAGUGGCGAAGGCGGAUCUCUGGACAGUUCCUGACACUGAGGCACGAAGGCUAGGGGAGCAAACGGG